CCUACGGGGGGCUGCAGUGGGGAAUAUUGGACAAUGGGGGGAACCCUGAUCCAGCCAUGCCGCGUGUGUGAAGAAGGCCCUCGGGUUGUAAAGCACUUUCAGUGAGGAAGAACGCCUGGUGGUUAAUACCCAUCAGGAAAGACAUCACUCACAGAAGAAGCACCGGCUAACUCCGUGCCAGCAGCCGCGGUAAUACGGAGGGUGCGAGCGUUAAUCGGAAUUACUGGGCGUAAAGCGCGCGUAGGUGGCUUGAUAAGCCGGUUGUGAAAGCCCCGGGAUCAACCUGGGAACGGCAUCCGGAACUGUCAAGCUAGAGUGCAGGAGAGGAAGGUAGAAUUCCCGGUGUAGCGGUGAAAUGCGUAGAGAUCGGGAGGAAUACCAGUGGCGAAGGCGGCCUUCUGGACUGACACUGACACUGAGGUGCGAAAGCGUGGGUAGCAAACAGGAUUAGAUACCCUAGUAGUC
rnacentral:rRNA from 1 species